AACAGCCACUCCCUUUUGAGUUUUGAGUUUCAGGCCCAGAGAGUGUCAGCCACUAAUUGCCACCGUGCUGGCCAGGGUCCUGCUCUCCUGCCUGCUGGCCCUGCCCCUCGGCCCCUGACCCCCUGCCCUGCUGGAGAGGACCUGGACGGGCCAGGGAAUGGCAGCACUUCCCAUUCUGUGGGGCUGGGUGCUCAUGGCUGCCGUGCGGACAGGUGCCUCUGAGAGCUUGGUGGAGCAAAGGCCCAGGUGGGCCCUGGUACGUCGCGGACAGGCUGAAACCCUGUACUGCUUCCUGAGAGAUGCCCAGUACCCCUGGAUGAGCUGGUACCAACAGGAUCUCCAGGGACAACUCCAGGUUCUGGCCAGUCUGCGGUCUUCUGGGGACAAGGAGGCCAAAUCUCUUCCCGGUGCAGAUUACCAGGCUGUGCGGGUCAAUGACAAGGAGCUGAAGCUGCAGGUGGCCAAUGUGACCCAGAGCAGGACCCUGUACUGCACCUGCAGCAAAGACACAGUGAGACAUUCUCCUUGGACGAGUGAACAAAAACCACCCCUGGUUCCCACAGACCCACGUCCCUCCCACUCUGCCCUGACAGCACCCCAAGCCUGCUCGUCCCCGCCCCAGAUCCUCCCUUCUGGCCUCUUCACUGCAAAUGAACUCUGA